AGAGUUUGAUCCUGGCUCAGACGGGGGGAGCUAUAAUGCAAGUCGACGAACUCUGGUAUUGAUUGGUGCUUGCAUCAUGAUUUACAUUUGAGUGAGUGGCGAACUGGUGAGUAACACGUGGGAAACCUGCCCAGAAGCGGGGGAUAACACCUGGAAACAGAUGCUAAUACCGCAUAACAACUUGGACCGCAUGGUCCGAGUUUGAAAGAUGGCUUCGGCUAUCACUUUUGGAUGGUCCCGCGGCGUAUUAGCUAGAUGGUGGGGUAACGGCUCACCAUGGCAAUGAUACGUAGCCGACCUGAGAGGGUAAUCGGCCACAUUGGGACUGAGACACGGCCCAAACUCCUACGGGAGGCAGCAGUAGGGAAUCUUCCACAAUGGACGAAAGUCUGAUGGAGCAACGCCGCGUGAGUGAAGAAGGGUUUCGGCUCGUAAAACUCUGUUGUUAAAGAAGAACAUAUCUGAGAGUAACUGUUCAGGUAUUGACGGUAUUUAACCAGAAAGCCACGGCUAACUACGUGCCAGCAGCCGCGGUAAUACGUAGGUGGCAAGCGUUGUCCGGAUUUAUUGGGCGUAAAGCGAGCGCAGGCGGUUUUUUAAGUCUGAUGUGAAAGCCUUCGGCUCAACCGAAGAAGUGCAUCGGAAACUGGGAAACUUGAGUGCAGAAGAGGACAGUGGAACUCCAUGUGUAGCGGUGAAAUGCGUAGAUAUAUGGAAGAACACCAGUGGCGAAGGCGGCUGUCUGGUCUGUAACUGACGCUGAGGCUCGAAAGUAUGGGUAGCAAACAGGAUUAGAUACCCUGGUAGUCCAUACCGUAAACGAUGAAUGCUAAGUGUUGGAGGGUUUCCGCCCUUCAGUGCUGCAGCUAACGCAUUAAGCAUUCCGCCUGGGGAGUACGGCCGCAAGGCUGAAACUCAAAGGAAUUGACGGGGGCCCGCACAGCGGUGGAGCAUGUGGUUUAAUUCGAAGCUACGCGAAGAACCUUACCAGGUCUUGACAUACU
rnacentral:rRNA from 2 species